CGCGGGCUCGGAGCCGGGGUUGGGGGUGGGCGAGGGGAGUCCUUCGCCCUUGCGGCGGGCUCCUGCCCAAGCCAGCCCACCCGGCCCAGCUCCCGCUCCCGCUCCCGCUCCGGAGCCGUGCCCACCGGGCCAGCCGGAGGCUGCCGCAGCUGCCGGGGGGAGGGCUUGGAGCUCCAGCCCUUGGGGGAGUCUUUCCUCUAGGGAGUGGUAGGGGUGGGGGCCUUGGAGGGCUCCUGAGCGCCGGGGAACCUCUCCCCCCGGCAGCGUCGACCCUCCCCC
rnacentral:lncRNA from 1 species